rnacentral:rRNA from 1 species
UGGCCUUGGCGGCGUGCUUACACAUGCAGUCGAACGGUGAAGCCAAGCUUGCUUGGUGGAUCAGUGGCGAACGGGUGAGUAACACGUGAGCAACCUGCCCUGGACUCUGGGAUAAGCGCUGGAAACGGCGUCUAAUACUGGAUAUGAGACGUGAUCGCAUGGUCGUGUUUGGAAAGAUUUUUCGGUCUGGGAUGGGCUCGCGGCCUAUCAGCUUGUUGGUGAGGUAAUGGCUCACCAAGGCGUCGACGGGUAGCCGGCCUGAGAGGGUGACCGGCCACACUGGGACUGAGACACGGCCCAGACUCCUACGGGAGGCAGCAGUGGGGAAUAUUGCACAAUGGGCGAAAGCCUGAUGCAGCAACGCCGCGUGAGGGAUGACGGCCUUCGGGUUGUAAACCUCUUUUAGCAGGGAAGAAGCGAAAGUGACGGUACCUGCAGAAAAAGCGCCGGCUAACUACGUGCCAGCAGCCGCGGUAAUACGUAGGGCGCAAGCGUUAUCCGGAAUUAUUGGGCGUAAAGAGCUCGUAGGCGGUUUGUCGCGUCUGCUGUGAAAUCCCGAGGCUCAACCUCGGGCCUGCAGUGGGUACGGGCAGACUAGAGUGCGGUAGGGGAGAUUGGAAUUCCUGGUGUAGCGGUGGAAUGCGCAGAUAUCAGGAGGAACACCGAUGGCGAAGGCAGAUCUCUGGGCCGUAACUGACGCUGAGGAGCGAAAGGGUGGGGAGCAAACAGGCUUAGAUACCCUGGUAGUCCACCCCGUAAACGUUGGGAACUAGUUGUGGGGACCAUUCCACGGUUUCCGUGACGCAGCUAACGCAUUAAGUUCCCCGCCUGGGGAGUACGGCCGCAAGGCUAAAACUCAAAGGAAUUGACGGGGACCCGCACAAGCGGCGGAGCAUGCGGAUUAAUUCGAUGCAACGCGAAGAACCUUACCAAGGC